AUGAGUGCAAUUUGCCGGCUUGGGGUCAAACAUACCUUGCAAAAAGUGCUUGCUGGAAACGUUGGUUGCAGAACAUUUGCCAGAAUGGUCGAUGCCAAGCUCGAUGCGGUGCCGGUCGUUGAUAUCGACGAAGGAAUUUUCAAGUACGUGCUGAUCAAGGUUUACGGAAAGGAAAAAAGCGAUGGCAGCGAACCAUCCAAGCUGAUCGUCCGUGGAUUCAACAGGGCUCAGUGGCAUUCGGACAUUUACGACGAGGUUAGUUCGGCCUUGUUGGGCCUUGGGCUGGAGACGGAAUGUCUCGGUGGUGGAAGGAUUGAGAAUAGGCCGGACCUGAAGCAGAUCAAAGUGUACGGAUACUCGCAGGGAUACGGCAAGGCGGAUCAUAUGGAAUCGCGACGUUUGCUGCUGACCAAAUACCCGGACCAUAACAUUACAUGCUCGGACGAAGGUUACUGAGCGUAGGAUGGAACAAUCAUGUUUCCGUUACUUUCCGGGACAGACGCACAGCAUCCGCCAUUGUUUUAGGGCUCGACUAGCAAUAGUUUUAUCAUUUCCCUGCCGUUCACUUCAUGA